AAACCUCAACCUCCUUGGUUUCUUCUGGAGACCAAAGCAGGCUUGGACUUUGGAGGCCUUUGCUGGCACCUCUCUGUCAGCUCCUCUUAAAUGAAUUAGCAGGGUCCUCUUUGCUGAUCCUUGACGUGUGAUAAGAUGUUUCCAUGUCUUGGUUUCUGGCUCUGUCACUUUUGGGACCCGCUUCUAACCGUCUUGACCUUGCGUCGAGACAAUGUUCGAGCACGUCUCCCUUCUCGGGAAGCUCCCUCGACCCCACGAAC
rnacentral:misc_RNA from 1 species